rnacentral:rRNA from 1 species
CCUACGGGUGGCUGCAGUGGGGAAUAUUGGACAAUGGGCGAAAGCCUGAUCCAGCAAUGCCGCGUGAGUGAUGAAGGCCUUAGGGUUGUAAAGCUCUUUUACCCGGGAUGAUAAUGACAGUACCGGGAGAAUAAGCUCCGGCUAACUUCGUGCCAGCAGCCGCGGUAAUACGAGGGGAGCUAGCGUUAUUCGGAAUUACUGGGCGUAAAGCGCACGUAGGCGGCUUUGUAAGUAAGAGGUGAAAGCCCAGAGCUCAACUCUGGAAUUGCCUUUUAGACUGCAUCGCUUGAAUCCAGGAGAGGUGAGUGGAAUUCCGAGUGUAGAGGUGAAAUUCGUAGAUAUUCGGAAGAACACCAGUGGCGAAGGCGGCUCACUGGACUGGUAUUGACGCUGAGGUGCGAAAGCGUGGGGAGCAAACAGGAUUAGAUACCCGAGUAGUC